rnacentral:tRNA from 1 species
GGAGAGGUGGCCGAGUGGUCGAAGGCGCUCCCCUGCUAAGGGAGUAUGCGGGCAACCGUAUCGAGGGUUCGAAUCCCUCUCUCUCCGCCA